AUUGAACGCUGGCGGAAUGCUUUACACAUGCAAGUCGAACGAUGACCCUUCGCUUGCUACUGGGAUUAGUGGCGCACGGGAGAGUAAUAUAUCGGCACGUGCCUUGUAAUGGGGGAUAACUAGUCGAAAGAUUAGCUAAUACCGCAUACGCCCUGAGGGGGAAAGUAGGGGAUCUUCGGCCCUUACGUUAUAAGAGCGGCCGAUAUCUGAUUAGCUAGUUGGUGGGGUAAUGGCCUACCAAGGCCACGAUCAGUAGCUGGUCUGAGAGGACGACCAGCCACACUGGAACUGAGACACGGUCCAGACUCCUACGGGAGGCAGCAGUGGGGAAUUUUGGACAAUGGGCGCAAGCCUGAUCCAGCCAUGCCGCGUGAGUGAAGAAGGCCUUCGGGUUGUAAAGCUCUUUCGUAAGGGAAGAAAACUUACUGGCGAAUAAAUGGUGAGGCUGACGGUACCUUGAGAAGAAGCACCGGCUAACUACGUG
rnacentral:rRNA from 1 species